UGGUGGGUAGCCAAGUGGUAAGGCAUUUUAUCCUUAUUCACAACCUUGCCUGUAAAGGCCGACGAAUUGAGGGUUAUCGUUGAAAAACAUUCGCAGGUUCAAAUCCUGCCCUGCCAC
rnacentral:tRNA from 1 species